rnacentral:rRNA from 1 species
UACGUAGGGGGCAAGCGUUGUCCGGAAUUAUUGGGCGUAAAGCGCGUGUAGGCGGCUCGGUAAGUCUGCUGUUAAAGUCCAGGGCUCAACCCUGGAAUGCCGGUGGAUACUGUCGAGCUCGAGUCCGGAAGAGGCGAGUGGAAUUCCUGGUGUAGCGGUGAAAUGCGCAGAUAUCAGGAGGAACACCAAUGGCGAAGGCAGCUCGCUGGGACGGUACUGACGCUGAGACGCGAAAGCGUGGGGAGCAAACAGG